rnacentral:lncRNA from 1 species
CGCGUCAGCAACGUUCCCAUAGGUACACUUCGGGUUCAUUGAAUUAGAUACACAGAGUAGGGUGUGGUCAUUGAAUCACCUCCCCCUUCAUUCUUCAAUGCCAUGGCCACCGUCGACGACCACCACCUCCUCCACCUAGACUCCGUCCCCGUCGUCGACCUCCGCCUCCUCACCCAAUCCGAGCUUUACUCCCUCUCCCUCUCCUCCUCCUCCUCCUCCGCAUCUCACCGCUUCGACGACGACGUUUUGAUCCCCAAAAUCGACCGCUCCGUCUUCAACGAAUCCGCCGGCAGCCGCAAACAGACCUACUCCCGCCUCCGCCUCGCCCCUCGCAACUCCCAAUUCGCCUCCUCCUCCAAUUCCAAAUCUGCCCUCCCUCCCUCCCACCUCCUCCUCUCCCAGCCGCUCGAUCGCGAGAGCCGCCAGAUUAUCUCGCUCCUCAAGCAGCUCUUCCCCUCCGACGAUCAAAACGACGACGUCCUCCUCCCCCAAACCACCACCACCACCACCACCACCACCACCCCCGUGCAGUACAAAAUCCCGCCGCGCCGACGCCUUCCUUCAUCGCCUCGGCCGGUGCCGUUUCCGGCGUCGAUUCCUCGCUCGGGAAACGGAAGCGCGGCCGGCCGCGGAAGGAUUCCAACGCCGUGAUUGCGAAACCGGAGGCCGCCGCUGUGCCGGUCAGCUCUGCUGCGUUGGCUGGCGGUGCCGGCGAGGCUGAGGAUGGCAAUGCCGGUGUUUUGAUUGAGAAGCGUGACGGUGGAGCUACGGCGGUUGGGACUUUUGUGCUGAAUAGCGAAGGACAGCUUGUGCCGAGUAGCGCGGGGAAGAGGAAGCGAGGGCGGCCGCGGAAGGAUGAGAUUAGGGUUAGGGAUGAGAGUACAGUGGCGGCUUCGGUGAGGAAACCGCCGAG